rnacentral:rRNA from 1 species
UACAGAGGGUGCUAGCGUUGUUCGGAAUCAUUGGGCGUAAAGGGCGUGUAGGCGGUUUGUUAAGUCAGGGGUGAAAUCCCAGAGCUCAACUCUGGAACUGCCUUUGAUACUGGGUAUCUCGAGUAUGGAAGAGGUGAGUGGAAUUCCGAGUGUAGAGGUGAAAUUCGUAGAUAUUCGGAGGAACACCAGUGGCGAAGGCGGCUCACUGGUCCAUUACUGACGCUGAGGUGCGAAAGCGUGGGGAGCAAACAGG